CCCUCCAGCGAUCUAUUGGCUGGUACCGCAGCAACCUCCGAAAACAGUACCGCUCCAGGCCGCUAGGGGGAGAAGGGAGCAAAACGGGAAAACAAACGCAAACCACCACCAAGAACAAAAGCGAUCGGGGAAACUAAAGAAAACGGAGAAAAACAAAAUACAAACCGGAAUAAAAACAAAACGCUGGGAAACCCUGAAAAUAAAAGGUCUCCAACAAGCUAAUAGUCAGGUGUCCAAAUACUUCCGGCCAUAAAGUGUAAGCAUGUGAUCGUUCGGUUAAUCCACCCUCUGCACGGCGAAUGUUCCCGCUCACCUUGACGAUGUGCAGUUUGGGCAGCAGGUUGCAGUCGGCCAGAGUCAUCUCGUCUCCGUCCAGGAACUUGCGGCUGGACACCUGGAUGUCGUCCAUGCUGUUGUGGUCGAUCUCGUCGGGCAGCGGCGUGCGCAGAACAGGUAAAAACACUUCCCAUUAGCUGCCACACGAGGGCACAUGAGCUGCCACACAAGCACAACAAAGCCAGAAGGUCUCGAUGAUCCCUGCACUAACAAGCCACCGGACAGAAUGAACACAGAAUAAUGCAUCUUCAUGCUUAAUUAAAAAUAAAAGUAUUAUCCUGA